AAGCGCUUGCAGGUGCCAGAGCGUCAGCCCUGGAGGGGGAUGGUAUGGCUCUCCCCGCUACUCAGGUGUGGAAACUGCAGCUCAGAGAGAUUAGGCUCCCGUUCCGAGUAAAUGACGGGAUUGGGAUUCGGUUCCUCCUCCUCAUUAGGCUAAAGUCUGUGCUCUUUUGCCACCAAAGUUGGGAGUUGGUCGAGGAAAGCGUGAGCAGUGAUAAGUGGGCUUAGCGGUCGAGAGCAGGCUUCACGGACGACCGGAUCUGGAGACAAGUCCUGGGUCUGCUACUAACACUGUGACGCUCUCAAUAAGUCAUUUUCCCCAUCCCGAGACUUCGUUUCCUCGUCUGUAAAGUGGGAGUGAUAACAUGUUAUAGGAUCACAAUGAGAAAACUAUGGAUUUAGACCUACAAAAGGUCACAGAACGUGUAAGCCGCACUGUCAGGCGUCAAAGCCAUGUUUGUCCUGCAACAAGGCUCAAGCUCUUUGACCUCACGGCCCGUCGCGAGAGAAGCCACCUGGGAAGACACCAUCCAACUGACACACUUCAUUCAUUCAAUCCGCCAUUCAUUCAAUCAAUGAAUUUAGAUUUGGCCUUCACUGGGAACCGGCUCGGCAGUCACCCAACUGUUUAAACCAAGAACCUAGGUGCCAAUCUUGAGGUCAUCCUCUCUCCAGGGUCCCUUUAUCCAAUCUGAUUCAUCAACAAAUCCUGUCAAUCAUCUUCAGGUAGAUGCAGAAUGAAACAUCUAGAAUCCUUCCCUACUCACCACAGCUGCACCAUUACCAAGCUGAAGUCCCUCACACUCGCUGAAGGGUCUCCAAUCCAUCCUCUGCCCUCAGAGUUUGCGGUCCUCACUGCUAAUCUUGGAAAAACAUGCAUGACGAUUGGCUCAAUCUAGAGACCCUGAGAUCCUGACCUGAGCCGAAAUCUAGAGUCAGAGGCUUAACCAACUCAAUCACCCAGUAGC